rnacentral:rRNA from 1 species
AAAGUGGCGAACGGGUGAGUAACACGUAGAUGAUCUACCUUUUAGUUGGGGAUAGCCCAUGGAAACAUGGAGUAAUACCGAAUAAUCUCUUACGAUUUUGAUUGUUUGAGGAAAGCAGCGUUUGCUGUGCUGAAAGAUGAGUCUGCGCACUAUUAGCUAGUUGGUGGGGUAAAGGCCUACCAAGGCGACGAUAGUUAGCCGACCUGAGAGGGUGAUCGGCCACAUUGGGACUGAGACACGGCCCAGACUCC